rnacentral:lncRNA from 1 species
CCAAGAAAAUCACGGGGAGUCAAACCAACAAAACCGAACUUGGGAAACAUCAACCAGCUGCCUACAGAUAGGGAUAAUUUACCAAAGUCACAAGACAACUAAAUUUACACAAUAUCAACCAACGCAGAAACAUAAGUAGAUGCAUACAAUCUAAAAUUACCAACUGUAACGAUGGAUGACGAUAUAAAAACUCCAACAACCCCAAAUAGCAUUAUGGGGAAGAAGUUAUGGAAGAACUGUUUCUUCUUGUAGCAGCGGGAAUCUUGUCAUCCUCUGUGCGCAGCACAACAUACUCAGCACAAUCAACCAAGCUAUUUCAUUUUCUUACCAACAGAAUACAUGGAAGGAAAAGAUAUAUAGUUGAAUCACUAAAAUACAAUCUCAUCUAUGCAUCUUACUAUUAUUGGCUACCAACUGAACUGAAACUAUCAAUAUGAUCAAAAAAACAAGUCAGGGGGGCACUUUCAACCAUAAACAGGAACAUGAGAGAGCAGGAGCAUAGGAUGAUCAGAAAUAGUACAUCAGUAAGGUGAGAUACUAAUCGAGGCUUCAAAGUGAUCCUUAUCAAGAAGCAAAAAGAUUAAAGCAUCGGAUGCUUGGCAGACAAUAAAUGUAUGAGAUCAACUAUGACAUCGCAGCAGCACAAUCCCAAUUCCAAAUACAAAUAUCAGUUAAAAUGUAUCAGAUCAACUAUGAGAUCACAUGAGCACAAUCCUACCUUCACUAGUCUCCUUUGCUGGCUUAUUUCUUAAUAAAUUUUAUCCAAGUCACCACCUUUCAUCAAUCAACCCACAAAGGAGAAAAUUACAGGUGACACACGGUCAGCACCUCUCAGCAAAUGAUACUGCAGCAAUUUUAAUCGUAGUAUGUAUAUGUAGAAUUCAGAUUAACUUACUUGUGGUAGAUAAAAAGCUGCAGCAGAAAAUACUCUUGAACAUUACAUCACUCUAGUUUCACUCUCAAUCUCAAAUUCAGUUCAACAAAGUACCUUAUCAUUGAGAAUGAAUAAUUUUGACUUACAAAGAGUAGCAAGAACGAUUGGAUGCAGUUUUCACUAUUGCUAUGUCCUAGAGUGCUCCCUCCAAAAGUUAGCUCCUCUGCUUUCUCAAUGUCUUUUGACUGGUAAGGAGCUAUACUGUGAAUUGUAUAUUGAAGUGAACCCAAUAGGUGAUUCUCGAUAUAUUCAUACCUGCAUGGUGAGCAAGAGUUAGCUUCUUCAUUCACCCAAAGUAGUAUAGAUUUGUAACAGAUACAGUAAGAAAUAUAAUUAAUAGUUCUUCACCGAAGUUUGAACGAAUUUGAAACUGGGGAAGAAAAUUAGGGCUGUGCAUACCGGUGUUAGAGAGAGCGAUGGAGAGAGGGAGAU